rnacentral:rRNA from 1 species
GUGGGGAAUCUUGCGCAAUGGGCGAAAGCCUGACGCAGCCAUGCCGCGUGAAUGAUGAAGGUCUUAGGAUUGUAAAAUUCUUUCACCGGGGACGAUAAUGACGGUACCCGGAGAAGAAGCUCCGGCUAACUUCGUGCCAGCAGCCGCGGUAAUACGAAGGGGGCUAGCGUUGCUCGGAAUUACUGGGCGUAAAGGGCGCGUAGGCGGACAGCUUAGUCAGAGGUGAAAGCCCAGGGCUCAACCUUGGAAUUGCCUUUGAUACUGGCUGUCUUGAGUUUGGGAGAGGUGAGUGGAACUCCGAGUGUAGAGGUGAAAUUCGUAGAUAUUCGGAAGAACACCAGUGGCGAAGGCGACUCACUGGCCCAAUACUGACGCUGAGGCGCGAAAGCGUGGGGAGCAAACAGGAUUAGAAACCCUAGUAGUUC